GGGGCGCGGGGCUCGCUGUGGGUUUUGGUGGGUCCGUGCGUGUGUAGGGUUCAGAAACCUCUUUGUGUAGGCUUUUAUACAGCGUGUGGAUUUUAAUCCCACUGUGCUGGGAGCUGUCCCAGGGAGAGCCUGAUGUGGCAGAGAGGGAAACCCUGGCUGUGGUCCAUGAGGUGCCAAGAUGUGUGGGGGAGCAUCUUCCACUGUGGAGUCAUCACUAAGGGCUUUGCUACUUAAAACCCUUGUUUGGAAGCAUUUUUCCUUUCACCAUCAGUUUUCAACAUGACAGGAGAGGGAAAUACAACAAGCAGGGAUCAAGCAAAGACUCUGUCUGGUCUGAGCAACAAAGCUCAAGAGUAGCUGCUGCUGCAAUUUGUCUCCUCGGUUUUCCAAGAAAACACAAAUAAUCAUUGAAAUGCUAAAUGUGGGAAGUCUGAAAGACAUUGGGUAAAUCCUUCCAUGGAUUCACCACAUUCAACCACAUUUUCCCAACCAACAAAGAGAAAGAAGGGAAAGCUGAUCUCUGCAGGAAAAAAUCCAGCCAGAAAUUAGGAUUGAGGUGGAGGAUUUCUCAGGGACAAACUCCAAAAUGACAUUGCUUGGAGGAAAGCUUAGAACACCCAUCAGGACUUGUGGAAGGCAGCACUGGAGGGAGGUGGGGAUGGAAAAAGGAGAGUUGUGAUGGUGUGGGAGAUACUGAAGCACAUCUGUGUCAUCCCAUGACUUGGUCGUGCUCCUCUCCAUAUUUUUAGAAACUCAGAGGGAGAAAUAACAGGAAUUAAGAAGGGGCUGCCAUUGGUGUUGUAGUAACUCCCAGGCCAGAGGAAAAAGUCUUUUCUAAGUAAAGUAAUCCAGGUACAUCAUCUUUCAAGAGAAAGCUGAGCACAGGUUGCUUACUUAGCCCAGGUGCUGCAAGGUCUAUGCUGGCAGCUCAGCCCACCAUGUCUGCAAUACAUAUAUACAUACAUACA